GGUGUGAGCACACCCCUGACAUGAGGCACUCCUGUGUUUCGUGCUGGAAAGCCUUCUGCACACCCCUGAAGUUGAGAAACAGAUUAAUUUCAGUUGGAAUUAUUCCUUGCCUGCUUGUGAAAAUAAUUUGGAUUCACAGUGUUUCUUUCAGCAGGAUUAAGGUGUGUGGAAGCUGAGUGCUUCGUGCAAGUGUGUCUGUUCAGUGCCUCUGCAGACAGCUCAGCACCAGUGCCAUGUGGUUCUCCCACUCUCUGCAGACAGCAGGAAAUCCUGAGUUAGAGAUUAAUGUCACUGCUCUGCCUGAGGAGUCAUCAGGUUGUUCGUGGUACAGCAGUCAGAAAACUUGCUUGACACAAGAUGCUGAGAUUUCGACCUGCAUUCUGAUUCAAGCAACACAGCUGCUUUAUCCGCCUCUCUGGUACAUCAAUUAAAUAUCUUGACUAUUUCCUUCCCCUCAGGGAAUCUACUUUUCCAAUGAGUGCUCUGGUUCUCAUUAUAAUUUUGAGAAAUCUUCAUUUUGUCUCUUCUGGUUUCAUCUCGAUUGACAAUCAGAGCAGAUUUUCCAGGCAGCUGCUGAACAGGCUGGGGUGCAGCAGCACCAGUCCCUUCCCCAGGGAAUUUACAGCUUAAGACUAGAGCCAGAACCACAAAGUGCUGUGGAGGAACAAAGUGAAAAAAGUAAAAACAAACAUGAUUUUUUGUGACAAAGUAAGAUCAGUGCACUCAAUUCUUUUUGUGUUGUAAUUGUGUAGGAUAGGGGUCUGGGGAAAUAAAAAAAUUGAGCAUAACUUGGGUUGUCUGAGUUAAAAUCUCCUUCAAAAUGACAUUUGUGUUCUCACAGGAGGAUUGUGCAGGCCCCAGAGAACCAGCAAUAUAAUCUCUUUUUGGUUUUUUUUCUUUUUGGGUUCAAAAUCAGGAUGUCUCUCCCUGGAGGAGGAGGAGGGUGCUGCAGUACUGCUUUAGCAAUCCAUUUUAAUAAUACAAGAGUAAUAACAGCAACCACCACCACAAAAAUCUCCUCCAACAAGAAUAAAACCAAUAAACCAUUAUUAUUAGUAGUAUUAGUAUUAUUAGUCCUCUAAUGGAAAUAGAGAAACUCAGAGAACCACCAUGUAUUUAAGUAAAGGAAUGUAGAACAGAUAAUGUUUAUGACACCAUAGUCAUGGGGCACACUGACAUAUAAUUCAACAGAAUUUACAGUGCAUUACCACUACAUGUUUUUAAGAAUGUGUACAAAUUUUAAUAGCAUUGAAAUAUAUAAGUAUACACAUAAGUAUUUUUCUUUUUUGUUAGGUUUGUACAUUUUCCUGUCCAUUUAUUCCCUUCGCAUAUCCUGAAUUGCUGCCUGAUUGGUGGUUCUGUCACA